rfam:Lachnospiraceae bacterium 28-4 genomic scaffold acPFn-supercont1.1, whole genome shotgun sequence.
UUGUGCAGGGAAAUGAGAUUUUCUUAAUAUUCCGCCUAAAAUCAGCAAUUUGGUGACACGGAUGUCACCAAAAGCCCGCAAUGAGCCCGGAUGGCGAAUCGCGGGCGGUUGCGUCCGGCUGAUACUACUUUACCGGAAUAUUUAGAAAAUCCAUGUCCCGGAACCA